rnacentral:rRNA from 1 species
UAUUGCUCUUCAACGAGGAAUCCCUAGUAAGCGCAAGUCAUCAGCUUGCGUUGAUUACGUCCCUGCCCUUUGUACACACCGCCCGUCGCUACUACCGAUUGAAUGGCUCAGUGAGGCGUCCGGACUGGCCCAGAGAGGUGGGCAACUACCCCUCAGGGCCGGAAAGCUCUCCAAACUCGGUCAUUUAGAGGAAGUAAAAGU